rnacentral:rRNA from 1 species
UACAGAGGGUGCAAGCGUUAUUCGGAGUUAUUGGGCGUAAAGAGCGCGUAGGUGGCUCGAUAAGUUUGAUGUGAAAUCCCUGGACUCAAUCCAGGAAGUGCAUUGAAUACUGUCGAGCUAGAGUACAGGAGAGGUAGGCGGAAUUCCAGGUGUAGAGGUGAAAUUCGUAGAUAUCUGGAGGAACAACAGUGGCGAAGGCGGCCUGCUGGACUGUAACUGACACUGAGGCGCGAAAGCGUGGGGAGCAAACAGG